GAUGAACGCUGGCGGCGUGCUUAACACAUGCAAGUCGAACGGAAAGGCCAGUGCUUGCACUGGUACUCGAGAGGCGAACGGGUGAGUAACACGUGGGUGAUCUGCCCUGCACUUCGGGAUAAGCCUGGGAAACUGGGUCUAAUACCGGAUAGGACAAUGGUUUGGAUGCCGUUGUGGAAAGUUUUUUCGGUGUGGGAUGAGCUCGCGGCCUAUCAGCUUGUUGGUGGGGUAAUGGCCUACCAAGGCGUCGACGGGUAGCCGGCCUGAGAGGGUGUACGGCCACAUUGGGACUGAGAUACGGCCCAGACUCCUACGGGAGGCAGCAGUGGGGAAUAUUGCACAAUGGGCGCAAGCCUGAUGCAGCGACGCCGCGUGGGGGAUGACGGCCUUCGGGUUGUAAACUCCUUUCGCUAGGGACGAAGCGUAUUUGUGACGGUACCUGGAGAAGAAGCACCGGCUAACUACGUG
rnacentral:rRNA from 1 species